rnacentral:lncRNA from 1 species
GUGACAGGCCCAAGACAAGCAAGUCUUUGUCAAAUGCUUGCGAUGACAAGGCCAAUGAGCUCCUCCUGCCCCUGAGAGGGCUCCAGCUGCUCCUGACCCUGGGCCUGGCUGUUCAUCUUCUCUUCAGCUUCAAUCUCUUCUGAUGUGGGGAUGGAGUUCUUCUUGGGGCGACCUUUGGGUUUUGUGGGUGCUUCCUGUCCACCUUUAAGAACCUACGGUGACAGUGAGGGUGACCAACAGAUAAUGUGUAUGAAAGGACCAGAACGGCACCUGAAUGCUAACACACAGAUAUUAAGGGGACCUUUAACGAGGUAGAGAUGCUGACAGAAACCAACCCUGGGGAGAAGACGUUCCCUGUAUUUCUUUUCACCUUUAUAGGGCAGCGAGGGCCACAUAACUGAUGACUGUUUCCAUGAAGCUGAGAAACAAGUUUGGAUUCCCCAGCAUGAAUCUCCUCCCAGACACUGCUGCUCCCAUUAGCUGACUUUCUCAGCCUGAAGAUGUGAUGUUCCACUGGACCUCAGGCAAGGCCCCAAAUGCCAAGGCGCUGACUUGGAGAUGACUGGGGAGCAGGGACUGAGAAAGGACAAAUGCUCAGGGCUGUGCGGAGUCCCUGAAACUCAUAGAAUUCACUUUUGGCUUAUGUAUCCUGGCCUCCAAAUAUUUGGAUUCUCUGAAGACAUGGAUUUUGUGGCUAGGUCUUCACCUGCAGCUGAGUGAGUCCCAGAGACUGAGCCAAGUCCAACCUAGAAGGCACAAGAUACAAAGGAAAGAAUCCAACAGAGGAAACUCUGGGAAGCUGAGAAACAGAUGCCCAUGCCUGAGGACACCUGGGCCAGUCCCCAUCCUGAAACAUUCACGGUCUGCAAGGGACCUGAGAAGGAUGCCUGGGGCUUCUCAUCACACAGUCCUUUUCCUGGCUUGACAAGAGCAUUCACUCUGACCCUCUGGCCCAUCGUCCAGACUGGAAACAAAAGGCAAAGCCAGAUGUUGCUGAUGGGAAUCCACUCAUCAUUCCAGACCCAGCCCCGGUCCCACCUCCGGCAGGUGAUUCUCCUGGCUCCCACAGCUCGUCUCCUCUGCACCCUCCCACAGGCCAGCAGUCACCCAGAUGGUCCCACGUUUCCUGCUGUUCUCUGAUCACUCCAACUGUGUUAUUUCUGCCUCCCUAACUCAGUAGCCAGGGCAGCGUAUACCUUCCACUUCUUUUCUACCCAUGAAAGUGCCCAUCACACUGCUAAAUCCAGAACCGGUGCUCAAAAAAUACUUCUUAAUGGAUUGAUUCAAUCGCUGUAGCUGUCCUAAAUUGUUAUAACAAUUAAAAUGUUAUAAAUAAAUAAAUAUUAUAAAGAUUCCAAAAGAAACAUUAAAUCCACAGCCCUUCCUGUUUUCCAUUCUACUGCUAAUCAUGGUGCUGUACUUCUCUGUAGUCUUCUGAAAAGUCCUAAAAGUCAAAGCCAUUUCUGGGGCUAAAUCUAACACACCCACCAUUUCCUGAGCACCACGGCAUCCCAGGGUACAUGCUAAGCCCCUGACAUGCUGUCUUAUCUAUCCCAUUCACAAC